GUUGGGUUGUUUUGCAGUGAUUGUAAUUUAUCCUCCAUGGCACCAUGAAAGCUCCUGGUAGUGCAACCUGGAUACCAGCAUCAGACAUGUAGGUUUUGAAUGCUUAUGGGUAUGUGAAUGGAGACCAUUGUACAUAAGGACAUGCAGUAGUGCCCAGGUACUCCUUGGCUAUAAAGGAACAUUUGUGCAGUGGCAGCUGAACCAUGGAGAUGGUAGAAGCCUCCUGCUUUGGGCAGAGAAGUGCAGGAUGUCUGUCUGUCUCUUUGACUACUGACUGCAAGGACCUGAAGUGGGCAGAGCCUUCUCCAGCCCCACAAGCAGCAAUUACACAGUGCUUGGAACACCUGUACUGAAGAGAGAGAAAAUUUUCCUCAGUUUCUGUCUUUGUGUCUUCUUUUCACUAAUGGUGGAGAGGAUCCUCUUUGAAGCAGCAUCAGAUAUGAAAAGUAAUGUCAGCAUGAAAAACUAGUAUCGGCUUGUCCUUCUGGUUAAGAAUCAUGCAACAUCCAUAGACUCUUAUCAAGAGAGGAAUAAUAUGGUGCAAGAACUUACGUCAGCAAGGAUAAAUAAUUUAAAGAAAAGGUGUGAACAUGGAAGGAAUAACCUGAUGACUUGAAGCAGUUUUGAUCUUGCAUGAAGGCAGAGCUGUAAUACAUAAUGUACAGUGAACCUGGGCUGGGUUCAUGGCAUAUUCCAGAGGAUAUUUUAGAAGGCAUUUUGUCUCACUACCUCUUGUUUGAUGAUUUGACCAAUAAUAUUUUCAACAGCUUCUGGAUGGUGAGGCUGCUUCUAUCUCUUCCUUUGUACCCUAUGUUAAAGACCCUGCCCCUUGCUUACAACUGGGGAGGCAGGAGAAAAAUACGUUAUAAGAAACCAUUGUGCAAAAAGCAUUAGGAAGAAGUAACAGGUUGUAACAGUAUGGAUCAUACUUUGGCAUAGCCAGAAACCUCGUUCAUCAUUAGGGAAUCACUGACCUUUCGUAGUGGUGAAUUCUCCCUGCAGGAGAUGGGCCUUCAUCUAUUGGUUAAAACUCAUGUUGUAACCUAAAAACUUUAACAUUAAAUAACUGAAAUACACUUACAGUACUGGAAUGACUGAAUCACAAACAAACAAAUGAGCAAAGAAAGACUCCAAAGCUUUCCAGAUGGCUGUUUCCCACUGAUGUACAUUUUUUUCUCCGGAGCUUCAAAACAUGUUUAAAUUAUGAAAUUUGGUGUGAUUACAAGAACUUGGCAAGCAGUCAUUAAGGUUUUAGUCUGAGGAGUGUUACUACAGAGUUAGAGAACUGCAGAUGAGCAAUGGCGGUGUCCUUGUGUGUGCACAGCAUUGUCAGCGUGGG